GCCUGUAUCGAAAGUGUCGUCGGCGCGCCCGUCGCCUUCGUCAUUGAUAGUGCAGGUAGAGGAAAUCGCCGCCGGCCUUUCCCGUGUCUGCUGGACCGCCGCUUCCCGUCAGACCCUGGCGCCGGCGCACA